UAUUAUUAUUAUUAUUAUUAUUAUUAUUAUUAUUACUAUUACUAUUAUUACUAUUAUUUUUAUUAUAGGGAGCGUUAGUGUAUAAUAAUCAAAUAUCUAAGCACAUGGCAACACUUUUUACAACAUUUAUGAAGCAACAACUCAAAAUAUAACUUCAUAAAUAAACAUAUGGAAGGAAAAUACCAAUAAUAACACUAUCUGAUAACCCUGACACCUGGACCCCCUCAUAUAUACCCCCCCUCGGCACCUGUGUUGGCAGAUUGGUCGAAAAGUAGCGGAUUGGGCUACUUUUAAUUAUUUUGUGGUGAGUAGGUAGAUGAAGUUCGUGAAGUGUCGUGUCUUGCCCGGCUCGUCCGUUCGCCCCCUGCAACGCGUAUCAGUUAGCAAUGGUGUAUCGUGUGUCAAAGGAUGCUCGGUGCUUGUCCUCCUUUUGUGUGUGUGUGUGUGUGUGUGUGUAUGUGUGUGAAAUCUUCAAUCUUCAGUUCCUAAGCAAUGGGAAAGUGGUCAAAUUACGAUCAAGCUUUUCAGAAUGCUUGGUUGAGGAACCCUGUCUUUGAAAAGUGGUUGGAAGAAGUGAACAAUAUUUUGGUCCAAUUUAGAUAAUGUAAAUAAUUUAUAGAAAAAAAAAACAAGCUUAAGAAAACACGAAAAAAAAAAAUAAUAAAAUCGUAUAUACAUCGUGAAAGAGGACUCCACUCUCCCUCCCUCACCCCAUGGAUAGAAACGUGAUUGGAUAGUUAAGAUAAUUAGGUAAUAGUGUUUUUGUAUUGGGCUACACCGCUGUGAAAUCCGCUACUUUUCAUUUGGAGAAUCUGGCAACGCUGCUCGACACCUCAAAGCCUUAGUAUGCCGCGGGCUUGGACGGGAGAGGGUGUGCCGCGUGAGCUCUUGUGGACAAUGUGAGCUUUCUUUAAAAUCCAAGUUCCUGUGAUAAUUAAAAGUACUGGAACUUACUACAAACAUAUAAAGUGACGAGAAAUACUAGAAAAGUGACCCCGUGGUGAAGACUAUCCCCCCACCACCCCUUCCUUUAAUUACCAGGUGAAGGGAGGCCGCCCCCCCCCCAAACACACACACCCCCUACGAUUACCCCCACCCCCCCAACACUGCCAAAACACUGCCACUUGAAAAAAUAGAGGAAAAUUAUUGUUGACUGAAAUUUGAAGAAAAAAAGGUGAAAAUUUUUUGAUAUAGAAAAUCAGGAAUUGUUCAGAAAAUCAGGAAUUGUUAAAAAAUCAGGAAUUGUUCAGAAAAUCAGGAAUUGUAACGAAAAAUCAGGAAUUGUAACGAAAAAUCAGGAAUUGUAACGAAAAAUCAGGAAUUGUUCAGAAAAUCAGGAAUUGUUCAGAAAAUCAGGAAUUGUUCAGAAAAUCAGGAAUUGUAACGAAAAAUCAGGAAUUGUUCAGAAAAUCAAGAAUUGUAACGAAAAAUCAGGAAUUGUUCAGAAAAUCAGGAAUUGUAACGAAAAAUCAGGAAUUGUAACGAAAAAUCAGGAAUUGUUCAGAAAAUCAGGAAUUGU